rnacentral:rRNA from 1 species
AUUGAACGCUGGCGGCAUGCUUUACACAUGCAAGUCGAACGGCAGCGCGGGGGCAACCCUGGCGGCGAGUGGCGAACGGGUGAGUAAUGCAUCGGAACGUAUCCUGUAAUGGGGGAUAACGUAGCGAAAGUUACGCUAAUACCGCAUACGCUCGAGAGAAGAAAGUGGGGGAUCGCAAGACCUCACGUUAUAGGAGCGGCCGAUGUCCGAUUAGCUAGUUGGUGGGGUAAAGGCCUACCAAGGCGACGAUCGGUAGCUGGUCUGAGAGGAUGAUCAGCCACACUGGGACUGAGACACGGCCCAGACUCCUACGGGAGGCAGCAGUGGGGAAUUUUGGACAAUGGGCGAAAGCCUGAUCCAGCCAUGCCGCGUGCGGGAA